rnacentral:rRNA from 1 species
UGGAGAGUUUGAUCCUGGCUCAGGACGAACGCUGGCGGCGUGCUUAACACAUGCAAGUCGAACGGAAAGGCCCCUUCGGGGGUACUCGAGUGGCGAACGGGUGAGUAACACGUGGGUGAUCUGCCCUGCACUUCGGGAUAAGCCUGGGAAACUGGGUCUAAUACCGGAUAGGACCACGGGAUGCAUGUCCUGUGGUGGAAAGCUUUUGCGGUGUGGGAUGGGCCCGCGGCCUAUCAGCUUGUUGGUGGGGUGACGGCCUACCAAGGCGACGACGGGUAGCCGGCCUGAGAGGGUGUCCGGCCACACUGGGACUGAGAUACGGCCCAGACUCCUACGGGAGGCAGCAGUGGGGAAUAUUGCACAAUGGGCGCAAGCCUGAUGCAGCGACGCCGCGUUGGGGAUGACGGCCUUCGGGUUGUAAACCUCUUUCACCAUCGACGAAGGUCCGGGUUUUCUCGGAUUACGGUAGGUGAGAAGAAGCACCGGCCAACUACGUGCCAGCAGCCGCGGUA